rnacentral:rRNA from 1 species
UACGUAGGGCGCAAGCGUUGUCCGGAAUUAUUGGGCGUAAAGAGCUCGUAGGCGGUCUGUUACGUCUGCUGUGAAAACCCGGGGCUUAACCCCUGGCUUGCAGUGGAUACGGGCAGACUAGAGGCAGGUAGGGGAGAAUGGAAUUCCCGGUGUAGCGGUGAGAUGCGCAGAUAUCAGGAAGAACACCCGUGGCGAAGGCGGCUCUCUGGGACGGUACUGACGCUGAGACGCGAAAGCGUGGGGAGCGAACAGG